GAGGGAAACAACCCAGACCGCCAGCUAAGGUCCCAAAGUCAUGGUUAAGUGGGAAACGAUGUGGGAAGGCCCAGACAGCCAGGAUGUUGGCUUAGAAGCAGCCAUCAUUUAAAGAAAGCGUAAUAGCUCACUGGUCGAGUCGGCCUGCGCGGAAGAUGUAACGGGGCUAAACCAUGCACCGAAGCUGCGGCAGCGACGCUGAUGCGUUGUUGGGUAGGGGAGCGUUCUGUAAGCCUGUGAAGGUGUGCUGUGAGGCAUGCUGGAGGUAUCAGAAGUGCGAAUGCUGACAUAAGUAACGAUAAAGCGGGUGAAAAGCCCGCUCGCCGGAAGACCAAGGGUUCCUGUCCAACGUUAAUCGGGGCAGGGUGAGUCGACCCCUAAGGCGAGGCCGAAAGGCGUAGUCGAUGGGAAACAGGUUAAUAUUCCUGUACUUGGUGUUACUGCGAAGGGGGGACGGAGAAGGCUAUGUUGGCCGGGCGACGGUUGUCCCGGUUUAAGCGUGUAGGCUGGUUUUCCAGGCAAAUCCGGAAAACUAAGGCUGAGGCGUGAUGACGAGGCACUACGGUGCUGAAGCAACAAAUGCCCUGCUUCCAGGAAAAGCCUCUAAGCAUCAGGUAACAUCAAAUCGUACCCCAAACCGACACAGGUGGUCAGGUAGAGAAUACCAAGGCGCUUGAGAGAACUCGGGUGAAGGAACUAGGCAAAAUGGUGCCGUAACUUCGGGAGAAGGCACGCUGAUAUGUAGGUGAAGUCCCUCGCGGAUGGAGCUGAAAUCAGUCGAAGAUACCAGCUGGCUGCAACUGUUUAUUAAAAACACAGCACUGUGCAAACACGAAAGUGGACGUAUACGGUGUGACGCCUGCCCGGUGCCGGAAGGUUAAUUGAUGGGGUCAGCGCAAGCGAAGCUCUUGAUCGAAGCCCCGGUAAACGGCGGCCGUAACUAUAACGGUCCUAAGGUAGCGAAAUUCCUUGUCGGGUAAGUUCCGACCUGCACGAAUGGCGUAAUGAUGGCCAGGCUGUCUCCACCCGAGACUCAGUGAAAUUGAACUCGCUGUGAAGAUGCAGUGUACCCGCGGCAAGACGGAAAGACCCCGUGAACCUUUACUAUAGCUUGACACUGAACAUUGAGCCUUGAUGUGUAGGAUAGGUGGGAGGCUUUGAAGUGUGGACGCCAGUCUGCAUGGAGCCGACCUUGAAAUACCACCCUUUAAUGUUUGAUGUUCUAACGUUGACCCGUAAUCCGGGUUGCGGACAGUGUCUGGUGGGUAGUUUGACUGGGGCGGUCUCCUCCUAAAGAGUAACGGAGGAGCACGAAGGUUGGCUAAUCCUGGUCGGACAUCAGGAGGUUAGUGCAAUGGCAUAAGCCAGCUUGACUGCGAGCGUGACGGCGCGAGCAGGUGCGAAAGCAGGUCAUAGUGAUCCGGUGGUUCUGAAUGGAAGGGCCAUCGCUCAACGGAUAAAAGGUACUCCGGGGAUAACAGGCUGAUACCGCCCAAGAGUUCAUAUCGACGGCGGUGUUUGGCACCUCGAUGUCGGCUCAUCACAUCCUGGGGCUGAAGUAGGUCCCAAGGGUAUGGCUGUUCGCCAUUUAAAGUGGUACGCGAGCUGGGUUUAGAACGUCGUGAGACAGUUCGGUCCCUAUCUGCCGUGGGCGCUGGAGAACUGAGGGGGGCUGCUCCUAGUACGAGAGGACCGGAGUGGACGCAUCACUGGUGUUCGGGUUGUCAUGCCAAUGGCACUGCCCGGUAGCUAAAUGCGGAAGAGAUAAGUGCUGAAAGCAUCUAAGCACGAAACUUGCCCCGAGAUGAGUUCUCCCUGACUCCUUGAGAGUCCUGAAGGAACGUUGAAG
rnacentral:rRNA from 1 species